rnacentral:rRNA from 1 species
UACGUAGGUGGCAAGCGUUAUCCGGAUUUAUUGGGCGUAAAGAGAACGCAGUCGGUCUUUUAAGUCUGAUGUGAAAGCCUUCGGCUUAACCGGAGUAGUGCAUUGGAAACUGGGAGACUUGAGUGCAGAAGAGGAGAGUGGAACUCCAUGUGUAGCGGUGAAAUGCGUAGAUAUAUGGAAGAACACCAGUGGCGAAAGCGGCUCUCUGGUCUGUAACUGACGCUGAGGUUCGAAAGCGUGGGUAGCAAACAGG